rnacentral:rRNA from 1 species
AUGUUUCGGACCCUCUGCAAGGGACAAGCAUGCCAACAAGACGGAUUUGACAAAUGGUACAAAACGAAUCCUCCGUGGUCCUUACCAGAUUCCAUGGGGGGUGCUCCAGAUCGCGUCGAGACGGCGGCAUUUGCGACGGGGGAGGUGGCGACCUCCCCUGACCCCGUCCUCCUCGGCGACGUCUUCUUCUCAGGCCUGAAGCAUGAAAAGCAUUUCACGGUCCGAAUUCCCCAAUGCAUGUGCCUCUCAACCGAACCUCCUCCUCCUUGUGCCCACCACGAGAUCUCCAACCCCUCUGCUCCUUACAAUCCAGAAGACUCUUUGCACAUGCAAUGGCACCAUGGACGGGGAGUUCUCCUCCCUUGCUGCACGAUCCUGGUCACAGAUUGCCAUCGCACUCAUCUUGCAAGAAGAAUGCGAUCCCUGUGGAGGGGAUGUGAUCAGGUAGGAGGAGCAUUGUCACCGUGGCUUUUGUGGAGGUCAAUGUGCUCACCCAAGAAUAGGAUCUCUCUCGGUUUUGGGCCACAGUUGAGCUCUAAAUUUAGAAUGUCUGCCCUCUGA